rnacentral:tRNA from 1 species
UGAUGGCCGAGUGUCAGGCGGUGGGUUGUAAACCCAUAGACGGGGGUUAAAACCCCCCUCCUGC